rnacentral:lncRNA from 1 species
GGAGUUCCUUGGUCUCCAGGGUCUUAAGGUCAAAUGAGGCAGUAAGACUCUAGUACAAGAAGUCAGUGUCUGGCAGAGAUGUGGCUGAGUGAGUUGAGGGGGGAGUCAUUAGUGUAGAGGUGACAACAGGCUAGAGGUGACAUUUGAGCCAGAAGGGCAUGAAGUAGGAAGGGCAAUGACAGGCUGGGAGGAGACCCAUAUUCCCUGUGGAGAAUGGGGAAGUGGGGUGCAUAUUUGGAGAGUUUCAGGAAGGAGGCGGGAAAGAGCAGAGCGGAAGCAGAGUUAGAAUUUCCCUGCAGAAGGGGCAUAGGGUCGGCACCCCGGAUGGAGCAGGAACUUCAAGCUUUGUUUUGCCAAGAAGAAUUUGGGGGAGUGAUGACUCAUGAUGCCGCCAUUGAGAGUGGGAAGCAGAGGCCUGGGAGGAGGAGAUGGCACCCAAGAACACCGAGUGAACUGGCCUCGCGCGCUCUGGAUGGGCUGUGCGCACUCUGGAUGGACCUA